AUGAACAUUAGGAUAAUAAUGCAUUUGAAGUAUGAACUGCUAGCUAGGAGAAAGCUGAAUGUGGAGCAACUGACGAUGGUGACGAUGCGCUUGGAGGCGGCGGCGAUGCACCGGCCCUGGUCGUCGAGGACGAAGCCGGCGGGCGGCUUGGGCAUGGCGCCGCCGGACCGUGUCCCCCCAGCGAACCUCCCCUCCCCCUCCUCCUCAUCCUCCUCGUCGUAUUCCCUGUACCCCGCCUCGUCGUCGAACUCCUCCUCCUCCCGCCGCAGAGCGACGACGGGCGAGCGGGCCAUGUCUGUCGGCGGCGCGCGGCCGGAUUGCCCCCUGGGCGGCGGCCGGCCGGCUGAGCCCCUCGGCGGCCCGCGGCCCUGGUGGUGGCGGCUGGGCGCGCCAGGAGAGCCACGCCUACCGGGCGGACCCUGGUCGUCGCCGUCGUCGUCGCGGAGCCUGGGCGGCGGCCCGCGCCGGCGGUUCUGCGGUGGAGGGCCGCGGUUCCUUGGUGGCGGCCGGGACGAGCGCUGCUGCCGCGGAGGCGCAGCCGCGCGGACGGAGACGCACCGCGCGCCAGCCGGCGGCUGGGCCACCCGGGGGAUGACCGCCAUCCCCAUCCCCAUCGCCAUUGCCAAAGCCGCCAUCUUUCACUUUCACUAUCCGUUAGCGGGUCGGGAGGUAGAAGACGAGGAGAUAACAGAGUGGGAGACAGAUAUUUGCUCCAGUGGACUCUCACGGGCCUCAUCUCAUCUGAGCCCGGCCCGGCCCGCAGACGAGCCCACCUAG
rnacentral:rRNA from 1 species